UACGGAGGAUGCGAGCGUUAUCCGGAUUUAUUGGGUUUAAAGGGUGCGUAGGCGGAUCGUUAAGUCAGUGGUCAAAUUGAGGGGCUCAACCCCUUCCCGCCAUUGAAACUGGCGAUCUUGAGUGGAAGAGAAGUAUGCGGAAUGCGUGGUGUAGCGGUGAAAUGCAUAGAUAUCACGCAGAACCCCGAUUGCGGAGGCAGCAUGCCGGCUUCCUACUGACGCUGAAGCACGAAAGCGUGGGGAUCGAACAGG
rnacentral:rRNA from 1 species